rnacentral:misc_RNA from 1 species
GAGCAGCCGGUCUGAUGACUGCUGCUGAUGCAGUUGAAACUGUUGGCUUGGGUUUGGAUUUUGGAACAGCAGUCUCUCUCCUUACGCGAACUGAAGCAGGAACCUGAAAACAGACUAAAAAUUAGGGCUCAGAGUGUGGGAAUACUAGCCAAUCCUUGUUGGGUGCUACAUUAUCAUACAAGCAAGGUUGUUAAAUCAUGUGUGCACAAUUUUAUAACAAUGCUAACAGAAUUUAAACAUUCCAUGCUCCAUAUGAUAAUCCAAUUUUCUUUGCUCUCAUCUCCCCUACAGUUCCUUCAGAUGAGGCUUCAUGCAAUGGUAAUUUUCUUCUGUUCAUAUGUAAAUUGAUAAGUUCCAAUAAUGACUUCUGGGAAUUGUGUUCAGCGAUCUAUUUUCUGAUUAUGAACAGAAAAUGGGAUCAACAUCUGCAAAUCAUAAUGCAUUCCGAAUGUCUUCCAUGUUUCCAAAUGUCUUGAAACUUUUCUACUGAAAACCUUCAGGCAGUUUGCCUCAAGGUUAAACACAUUAGAAAUUGUCUAAUGAGCAAUAGUACUACUUUUUCUUAAUGCAAUAUCCCCAGUAAGAGAAGUGCUUUACCUUUCCAUUUUAAAUGUACACUUUCCAUUUUAUAUGUAUACUAUACAUAUAAAUGUUUAAAGAGAGAAGAGUUUUU